CCGCAAGGGCAACCGGCGAACGGGUGCGUAACACGUGAGCAACCUGCCUAGAUGUGGGGGAUAGCCGGCCCAACGGCCGGGUAAUACCGCAUACGCUCACUGGGUGGCAUCACCUGGUGAGGAAACCUACGGGCAUCUAGAGGGGCUCGCGGCCUAUCAGCUAGUUGGUGGGGUAAUGGCCUACCAAGGCAUCGACGGGUAGCUGGUCUGAGAGGAUGGCCAGCCACAUUGGGACUGAGAUACGGCCCAGACUCCUACGGGAGGCAGCAGUGGGGAAUAUUGCGCAAUGGGCGAAAGCCUGACGCAGCGACGCCGCGUGGGGGAUGAAGCAUUUCGGU
rnacentral:rRNA from 1 species